UACGUAGGUGACAAGCGUUAUCCGGAUUUACUGGGUGUAAAGGGCGUGUAGGCGGUUUUGCAAGUCAGAUGUGAAAUUCCCAGGCUUAACCUGGGCGCUGCAUCUGAAACUGCAAGACUUGAGUACUGGAGAGGAUAGUGGAAUUCCUAGUGUAGCGGUAAAAUGCGCAGAUAUUAGGAGGAACACCGGUGGCGAAGGCGACUAUCUGGACAGUAACUGACGCUGAGGCGCGAAAGCGUGGGGAGCAAACAGG
rnacentral:rRNA from 2 species